rnacentral:rRNA from 1 species
GACGAACGCUGGCGGCGUGCUUAACACAUGCAAGUCGAGCGGUAAGGCCCUUUCGGGGGUACACGAGCGGCGAACGGGUGAGUAACACGUGGGUGACCUGCCCUCAGCUCUGGGAUAAGCCUGGGAAACCGGGUCUAAUACCGGAUAUGACUCCAUGACGCAUGUUGUGGGGUGGAAAGCCUUGUGCGGCUGAGGAUGGGCCCGCGGCCUAUCAGCUUGUUGGUGGGGUGAUGGCCUACCAAGGCGACGACGGGUAGCCGGCCUGAGAGGGCGACCGGCCACACUGGGACUGAGACACGGCCCAGACUCCUACGGGAGGCAGCAGUGGGGAAUCUUGCGCAAUGGGCGAAAGCCCUGACGCAGCGACGCCGCGUGAGGGAUGACGGCCUGUGUAA